GGAGUGAACGCUGGCGGCGUGCUUAAUACAUGCAAGUCGAACGAAGCACUUACGACAGAUCCCCUCGGGGUGAAGAUGUUGUGACUUAGUGGCGAACGGGUGAGUAACGCGUGAGCAACCUGACUCAAAGAGGGGGACAACAGCUGGAAACGGCUGCUAAUACCGCAUAAGACCACAGGGAGGCAUCUUCUAGGGGUCAAAGAAAUUCGCUUUGAGAGGGCUCGCGUCCCAUUAGAUAGUUGGUGAGGUAACGGCCCACCAAGUCCGCGAUGGGUAGCCGAGCUGAGAGGCUGAUCGGCCACACUGGAACUGAGACACGGUCCAGACUCCUACGGGAGGCAGCAGUAGGGAAUAUUGGGCAAUGGGCGCAAGCCCUGACCCAGCAACGCCGCGUGAGGGAAGAAGGUUUUCGGAUUGUAAACCUCUGUCCUAUGUGACGAAGGAAGUGACGGUAGCAUAGGAGGAAGCCCCGGCUAACUACGUGCCAGCCGCUGC
rnacentral:rRNA from 1 species